rnacentral:rRNA from 1 species
CCUACGGGUGGCAGCAGUGGGGAAUAUUGGGCAAUGGGCGGAAGCCUGACCCAGCAACGCCGCGUGAAGGAAGACUGCCCUACGGGUUGUAAACUUCUUUUAUAAAGGAAUAAAGUGAGGCACGUGUGCCUUUUUGUAUGUACCUGAUGAAUAAGGAUCGGCUAACUCCGUGCCAGCAGCCGCGGUAAUACGGAGGAUUCGAGCGUUAUCCGGAUUUAUUGGGUUUAAAGGGAGCGUAGGGGGGUUGUUAAGUCAGCGGUGAAAGUUUGGGGCUCAACCGUAAAAUUGCAAUUGAAACUGGCAGUCUUGAGUACGGUGGAGGUAGGCGGAAUGCGUGGUGUAGCGGUGAAAUGCUUAGAUAUCACGAAGAACUCCGAUUGCGAAGGCAGCAUACCGGCGCCCAACUGACGCUGAAGCACGAAAGCGUGGGUAUCGAACAGGAUUAGAUACCCGAGUAGUC